rnacentral:tRNA from 1 species
GUGCAAUGGAUUUAAGCUUCAUAAAUAAAGUAUGUUACUUUUAUUAGAA